UACGUAGGUGGCGAGCGUUGUCCGGAAUCAUUGGGCGUAAAGAGCGCGUAGGUGGCUUGUCAGGUCUGAUGUGAAAACUUGGGGCUCAACCCCAAGCCUGCAUCGGAAACCGGCUUGCUAGAGUCUGGGAGAGGAGAGUGGAAUUCCUGGUGUAGCGGUGAAAUGCGUAGAUAUCAGGAGGAACACCGGUAGCGAAGGCGGCUCUCUGGAACAGUACUGACGCUGAGGCGCGAAAGCUAGGGGAGCGAACAGG
rnacentral:rRNA from 1 species